CACGUGGGUAACCUGCCCAAGAGACUGGGAUAACACCUGGAAACAGAUGCUAAUACCGGAUAACAACACUAGACGCAUGUCUAGAGUUUGAAAGAUGGUUCUGCUAUCACUCUUGGAUGGACCUGCGGUGCAUUAGCUAGUUGGUAAGGUAACGGCUUACCAAGGCAAUGAUGCAUAGCCGAGUUGAGAGACUGAUCGGCCACAUUGGGACUGAGACACGGCCCAAACUCCUACGGGAGGCAGCAGUAGGGAAUCUUCCACAAUGGACGAAAGUCUGAUGGAGCAACGCCGCGUGAGUGAAGAAGGGUUUCGGCUCGUAAAGCUCUGUUGGUAGUGAAGAAAGAUAGAGGUAGUAACUGGCCUUUAUUUGACGGUAAUUACUUAGAAAGUCACGGCUAACUACGUGCCAGCAGCCGCGGUAAUACGUAGGUGGCAAGCGUUGUCCGGAUUUAUUGGGCGUAAAGCGAGUGCAGGCGGUUCAAUAAGUCUGAUGUGAAAGCCUUCGGCUCAACCGGAGAAUUGCAUCAGAAACUGUUGAACUUGAGUGCAGAAGAGGAGAGUGGAACUCCAUGUGUAGCGGUGGAAUGCGUAGAUAUAUGGAAGAACACCAGUGGCGAAGGCGGCUCUCUGGUCUGCAACUGACGCUGAGGCUCGAAAGCAUGGGUAGCGAACAGGAUUAGAUACCCUGGUAGUCCAUGCCGUAAACGAUGAGUGCUAAGUGUUG
rnacentral:rRNA from 1 species